UUCAACACUACCAUCAUGGCUGGUUUUGUGAUCAGACGUUUGGUUGGCCGGUCUGACUUGAAGCAUGUGGCUAAACUGGUCAAACAAGAAGACUGGGGCGUGUCUCUCCCGAAUCUGAUGAACUUUUACGACAUAAGCCCCUCGGGCUGGUGGGUGGCAGAAAAGAGUGACGGUUCGGUCGUUGUUUAGGUACGUGCAAAAUGUUCACCCUGGAAGACAACACAACCUGUCAUGGUGGAAUGUAUGUUGUCGAUAAGCAACACAGAGAUCAAGGGAUCGGAACGAAACUGAGUAAUACAGCAAUCAGAGGAGCUCAGGAUA
rnacentral:misc_RNA from 1 species